rnacentral:rRNA from 1 species
UAACGCGAGGAACCUUACCCGGGCUUGAAAUGCAUCUGACCGGCCUUGAAAGAGGCACUCCCUUCGGGGCCGAGAUGUGUAGGUGCUGCAUGGUUGUCGUCAGCUCGUGCCGUGAGGUGUCGGCUUAAGUGCCAUAACGAGCGCAACCCUCAUCAUUAGUUACCAUCAGGUAAGGCUGGGGACUCUAAUGAGACUGCCAUCGUAAGAUGUGAGGAAGGUGGGGAUGACGUCAAAUCAGCACGGCCCUUACGUCCGGGGCGACACACGUGUUACAAUGGGUGGUACAAAGGGCAGCUACCUGGCGACAGGAUGCUAAUCUCGAAAACCGCUCUCAGUUCGGAUCGGAGUCUGCAACUCGACUCCGUGAAGCUGGAUUCGCUAGUAAUCGCGCAUCAGCCACGGCGCGGUGAAUACGUUCCCGGGCCUU